rnacentral:tRNA from 1 species
GGAGGCGUGGCCGAGCGGUUGAAGGCACCGGUCUUGAAAACCGGCAAGGGCGUAAGUCCUUCGUGAGUUCGAAUCUCACCGCCUCCGCCA